rnacentral:rRNA from 1 species
GACGAACGCUGGCGGCGUGCUUAACACAUGCAAGUCGAACGGUGAAGCGCCUUUCUUUUUGGUGGGUGUGGAUGAGUGGCGAACGGGUGAGUAACACGUGAGUAACCUGCCCCCUUCUUCUGGAUAACCGCAUGAAAGUGUGGCUAAUACGGGAUAUUCUGGGUCUGUCGCAUGAUGGGUCUGGGAAAGAUAUUGUUUCGGUGGGGGCUGGGCUCGCGGCCUAUCAGCUUGUUGGUGGGGUGAUGGCCUACCAAGGCGGUGAGGGGUAGCCGGCCUGGGAGGGUGGACGGUCACACUGGGACUGAGACACGGCCCAGACUCCUACGGGAGGCAGCAGUGGGGAAUAGUGCACAGUGGGCGCAAGCCUGAUGCAGCGACGCCGCGUGAGGGAUGGAGGCCUUCGGGUUGUGAACCUCUUUCGCCAGUGAAGCAGGCCUGCCUCGUUUGUGGGUGGGUUGACGGUAGCUGGAUAAGAAGCGCCGGCUAACUACGUG